AUUGAACGCUGGCGGCAGGCCUAACACAUGCAAGUCGAACGAGUGGCGGACGGGUGAGGUAUACAUCGGAAUCUACUCUGUAGUGGGGGAUAUAGUAGGGACACUUACGCUAAUCCCGCAUACUAUUGAAUGAGCCGAUGUCGGAUUAGCGAGUUGGCGGGGUAAGGGCCCACCAAGGCGACGAUCCGUAGCUGGUCUGAGAGGAUGAUCAGCCACACGGGAACUGAGACACGGUCCAGACUCCUACGGGGGGCAGCAGGGGGGAAUUUUGGACAAUGGGCGCAAGCCGGAUCCAGCCAUACCGCGGGGUGGAAGAAGGCCUUCGGGUUGUAAAGCCCUUUUGUUGGGAAAGCGGUACCCAAAGAAUAAGCACCGGCUAAUUUCGUGCCAGCCGCCGCGGUAAUU
rnacentral:rRNA from 1 species